CAGAGUUCAUGCCCUAACGGGUAGACCUCCCACCCUUUGUUAUACCUACCUUUGUUGCUUUGGCGGGCCGCCUUCGGGCUAUCGGCUUCGGCUGGUGCGCGCCCGCCAGAGAACCCCAAAUUCUGAAUUAUAAUGUCGUCUGAGUACUAUAUAAUAGUUA
rnacentral:misc_RNA from 1 species